GUGUCAGCCGCCGCGGUAAUACGGAGGGGGCUAGCGUUAUUCGGAAUUAUUGGGCGUAAAGGGCGCGUAGGCGGCCCGGUAAGUCAAAGGUGAAAUCCCUCGGCUCAACUGAGGAACUGCCUUUGAAACUGUCGGGCUUGAGGCCGGGAGGGGGUAGCGGAAUUCCCAGUGUAGCGGUGAAAUGCGUAGAUAUUGGGAGGAACACCGGUGGCGAAGGCGGCUACCUGGACCGGUUCUGACGCUGAUGCGCGAAAGCGUGGGUAGCAAACAGGAUUAGAAACCCCCGUAGUCC
rnacentral:rRNA from 1 species